rnacentral:tRNA from 1 species
GGCUGGGGCUCAGUGGUAGAGUGCUUGCCUACCAUGUGUGAGGUACUGGGAUUGAUCCUCAGCACUAAGUAA